rnacentral:rRNA from 1 species
UGCAGUCGAACGCCCUCUUUUAGAGGGAGUGGCGCACGGGUGCGUAACGCGUGGGAACCUGCCCUUAGGUUCGGAAUAACUCAGAGAAAUUUGAGCUAAUACCGGAUAAUGUCUUCGGACCAAAGAUUUAUCGCCUUUGGAUGGGCCCGCGUAGGAUUAGAUAGUUGGUGGGGUAAUGGCCUACCAAGUCGACGAUCCUUAGCUGGUCUGAGAGGAUGAUCAGCCACACUGGGACUGAGACACGGCCCAGACUCCUACGGGAGGCAGCAGUGGGGAAUAUUGGACAAUGGGCGAAAGCCUGAUCCAGCAAUGCCGCGUGAGUGAUGAAGGCCUUAGGGUUGUAAAGCUCUUUUACCAGGGAUGAUAAUGACAGUACCUGGAGAAUAAGCUCCGGCUAACUCCGUGCCAGCAGCCGCGGUAAUACGGAGGGAGCUAGCGUUGUUCGGAAUUACUGGGCGUAAAGCGCACGUAGGCGGCUUUUCAAGUCANGGGUGAAAUCCCGGGGCUCAACCCCGGAACUGCCCUUGAAACUGGAUGGCUAGAAUACUGGAGAGGUGAGUGGAAUUCCGAGUGUA